AUUGAACGCUGGCGGCAGGCCUAACACAUGCAAGUCGAGCGGAUGAAGGGAGCUUGCUCGUGGAUUCAGCGGCGGACGGGUGAGUAAUGCCUAGGAAUCUGCCUGGCAGUGGGGGAUAACGUCCGGAAACGGGCGCUAAUACCGCAUACGUCCUGAGGGAGAAAGUGGGGGAUCUUCGGACCUCACGCUAUCAGAUGAGCCUAGGUCGGGUUAGCUAGUUGGUGGGGUAAAGGCCUACCAAGGCGACGAUCCGUAACUGGUCUGAGAGGAUGAUCAGUCACACUGGAACUGAGACACGGUCCAGACUCCUACGGGAGGCAGCAGUGGGGAAUAUUGGACAAUGGGCGAAAGCCUGAUCCAGCCAUGCCGCGUGUGUGAAGAAGGUCUUCGGAUUGUAAAGCACUUUAAGUUGGGAGGAAGGGCAGUAAGUUAAUACCUUGCUGUUUUGACGUUACCAACAGAAUAAGCACCGGCUAACUUCGUG
rnacentral:rRNA from 1 species